rnacentral:rRNA from 1 species
UACGUAGGGGGCAAGCGUUGUCCGGAAUUAUUGGGCGUAAAGCGCGCGCAGGCGGUCAUUUAAGUCUGGUGUUUAAGGCCAAGGCUCAACCUUGGUUCGCACUGGAAACUGGGUGACUUGAGUGCAGAAGAGGAGAGUGGAAUUCCACGUGUAGCGGUGAAAUGCGCAGAUAUCGGGAGGAACACCAAUGGCGAAAGCAGGUAACUGGACUAUUACUGACACUAAACUGCGAAAGCUAGGGGAGCAAACAGG